AACGCACCUUGCACCCUUUGGUAUGCCAAAGGGUACACCCGUUUGAGUGUCAUUGUAAUCUCACUACGAUUGACUUUGUCGUCUUUCUGUAUGUGGACUUGGAUGUUGUCGUGGAUAUCCACGACUCGUCUGAAAUGCUUGAGUGUACCCUGCUUUGCGGCGUAUUCGGUGUGAUACAUCUUCACCGGAGUUGAUCCUUUUGGGUCGCGUCUAUACAAGUGUGGCUCUAUGCUUCCAACCGUCUUCCAGGAGACAAUGUUUGACAAUUUGACCUCAAAUCGGGUGGGACUACCCGCUGAACUUAA
rnacentral:misc_RNA from 2 species